GUGUCAGCCGCCGCGGUAAUACGUAGGGGGCAAGCGUUGUCCGGAUUUACUGGGUGUAAAGGGCGCGCAGGUGGGUUGGCAAGUCAGAGGUGAAAUACUACGGCUUAACUGUAGAACUGCCUUUGAAACUGCCGAUCUUGAGUACGGAAGAGAGAAGCAGAAUUCCAGGUGUAGUGGUGAAAUACGUAGAUAUCUGGAAGAAUACCAGUUGCGAAGGCGGCUUCUUGGUCCGUUUCUGACACUAAGGCGCGAAAGCGUGGGUAGCAAACAGGAUUAGAAACCCUCGUAGUCC
rnacentral:rRNA from 1 species